GUGAGGAAUUUUCCGCAAUGGGCGAAAGCCUGACGGAGCAAUGCCGCGUGAAGGAUGAAGGCCUAUGGGUUGUAAACUUCUUUUCUCAGAAAAGAAUUAUGACGGUAUCUGAGGAAUAAGCAUCGGCUAACUCUGUGCCAGCAGCCGCGGUAAGACAGAGGAUGCAAGCGUUAUCCGGAAUGAUUGGGCGUAAAGCGUCUGUAGGUUGUUUAAAAAGUAUUCUGUCAAAGAUUAGGGCUUAACCCUAGAUAGUCAGAAUAAACUUUUAAGCUAGAGUUUGGUAGAGGCAGAGGGAAUUCCCGGUGGAGCGGUGAAAUGCGUAGAUAUCGGGAGGAACACCAAAGGCGAAGGCACUCUGCUGGGCCAAUACUAACACUGAGAGACGAAAGCGAGGGGAGCAAAUGGGAUUAGAAACCCCGGUAGUCC
rnacentral:rRNA from 1 species